UACGUAGGGGGCAAGCGUUAUCCGGAUUUACUGGGUGUAAAGGGCGUGUAGCCGGGCUGACAAGUCAGAUGUGAAAUCCGGGGGCUCAACCCCCGAACUGCAUUUGAAACUGUUGGUCUUGAGUAUCGGAGAGGCAGGCGGAAUUCCUAGUGUAGCGGUGAAAUGCGUAGAUAUUAGGAGGAACACCAGUGGCGAAGGCGGCCUGCUGGACGACAACUGACGGUGAGGCGCGAAAGCGUGGGGAGCAAACAGG
rnacentral:rRNA from 1 species